rnacentral:rRNA from 1 species
CCUACGGGUGGCUGCAGUGGGGAAUAUUGGACAAUGGGGGGAACCCUGAUCCAGCCAUGCCGCGUGUGUGAAGAAGGCCUUUUGGUUGUAAAGCACUUUAAGCGAGGAGGAGGCUACUCUAGUUAAUACCUAGGGAUAGUGGACGUUACUCGCAGAAUAAGCACCGGCUAACUCUGUGCCAGCAGCCGCGGUAAUACAGAGGGUGCGAGCGUUAAUCGGAUUUACUGGGCGUAAAGCGUACGUAGGCGGCUUUUUAAGUCGGAUGUGAAAUCCCU